rnacentral:lncRNA from 1 species
UCUAGCGAAGGACGAGUAAGUAAAGGCGGGAGCGGCGCCAUUACUCGAAACGAAAAGAAACUAUGGAAUGAAGCAGAAGCCGUGAAUGAAAGAAUGGAGAUUAAAAGAAAUCGGAGAAGACGAAGAAGAAGUAAAGAGAAGCGAAAGAGAAGUUUCGCCGGAGAAGACGAGGAAGAAAUAAAAAAGGGAUAGAAAAGACAAAGGGAAUGAGAAGCUUAGGGAAGAAGAAAAGGUCGUCGCGUCGAA